rnacentral:lncRNA from 1 species
CAAACCUGUCCUGGUCCAUGCACAGAUGUUUGAGAAAUACACAGAUGAUUGUCAAAAACCUGAAGAUCAUAAAUAGUGCCAAAAGACAUGCCACAUCUAAAGCAUCCCUGUGA